GCAAGUCGAGCGGUAGAGAGAAGCUUGCUUCUCUUGAGAGCGGCGGACGGCUGAGUAAUGCCUAGGAAUCUGCUUGGUAGUGGGGGAUAACGCUCGGAAACGGACGCUAAUACCGCAUACGUCCUACGGGAGAAAGCAGGGGACCUUCGGGCCUUGCGCUAUCAGAUGAGCCUAGGUCGGAUUAGCUAGUUGGUGGGGUAAUGGCUCACCAAGGCGACGAUCCGUAACUGGUCUGAGAGGAUGAUCAGUCACACUGGAACUGAGACACGGUCCAGACUCCUACGGGAGGCAGCAGUGGGGAAUAUUGGACAAUGGGCGAAAGCCUGAUCCAGCCAUGCCGCGUGUGUGAAGAAGGUCUUCGGAUUGUAAAGCACUUUAAGUUGGGAGGAAGGGCAUUAACCUAAUACGUUAGUGUUUUGACGUUACCGACAGAAUAAGCACCGGCUAACUCUGUGCCAGCAGCCGCGGUAAUAUAGAGGGUGCUUGCGUUAAUCGGAAUUACUGGGCGUAAAGCGCGCGUAGGUGGUUCGUUAAGUUGGAUGUGAAAUCCCCGGGCUCAACCUGGGAACUGCAUUCAAAACUGUCGAGCUAGAGUAUGGUAGAGGGUGGUGGAAUUUCCUGUGUAGCGGUGAAAUGCGUAG
rnacentral:rRNA from 1 species